rnacentral:rRNA from 1 species
AUUGAACGCUGGCGGCAUGCCUUACACAUGCAAGUCGAACGGUAACAGGGUGCUUGCACCGCUGACGAGUGGCGAACGGGUGAGUAAUGCGUCGGAACGUGCCGAGUAGUGGGGGAUAACGCAGCGAAAGUUGUGCUAAUACCGCAUACGUACUGAGGUAGAAAGUGGGGGACCUUCGGGCCUCACGCUAUUCGAGCGGCCGACGUCUGAUUAGCUAGUAGGUGAGGUAAAGGCGCACCUAGGCGACGAUCAGUAGCGGGUCUGAGAGGAUGAUCCGCCACACUGGGACUGAGACACGGCCCAGACUCCUACGGGAGGCAGCAGUGGGGAAUUUUGGACAAUGGGCGAAAGCCUGAUCCAGCCAUGCCGCGUGUCUGAAGAAGGCCUUCGGGUUGUAAAGGACUUUUGUCAGGGAGGAAAUCCCUAGUGCUAAUAACACUGGGGGAUGACAGUACCUGAAGAAUAAGCACCGGCUAACUACGUGCCAGCAGCCGCAGUAA